GCCUCGUAGCUCAGUGGGCAGAGCAUUGGACUAGUUCACUAGUAUAUCCCAAAGGUUGCGGGUUCGAUUCCCGCCGUGCA